rnacentral:rRNA from 1 species
UGGAUGGGGAUGCGUCUGAUUAGCUUGUUGGCGGGGUAACGGCCCACCAAGGCGACGAUCAGUAGGGGUUCUGAGAGGAAGGUCCCCCACAUUGGAACUGAGACACGGUCCAAACUCCUACGGGAGGCAGCAGUGAGGAGUAUUGGUCAAUGGACGAGAGUCUGAACCAGCCAAGUAGCGUGCAGGAUGACGGCCCUAUGGGUUGUAAACUGCUUUUAUAAGGGAAUAAAGUGAGUCUCGUGAGACUUUUUGCAUGUACCUUAUGAAUAAGGACCGGCUAAUUCCGUGCCAGCAGCCGCGGUAAUACGGAAGGUCCGGGCGUUAUCCGGAUUUAUUGGGUUUAAAGGGAGCGUAGGCCGGAGAUUAAGCGUGUUGUGAAAUGUAGACGCUCAACGUCUGCACUGCAGCGCGAACUGGUUUCCUUGAGUACGCACAAAGUGGGCGGAAUUCGUGGUGUAGCGGUGAAAUGCUUAGAUAUCACGAAGAACUCCGAUUGCGAAGGCAGCUCACUGGAGCGCAACUGACGCUGAAGCUCGAAAGUGCGGGUAUCGAACAGGAUUAGAUACCC